rnacentral:rRNA from 1 species
CAUCGCUUGGGGCAAAAAUUCCAAGUAAGGCCUGCCCACUGACUAAUUUAACGGCCGCAGUAUCUUGACUGUGCAAAGGUAGCAUAAUCAUUUGUCUCCUAAUUAGAGGCUGGUAUGAAUGGCUACACGUGGAAAUAACUGUGUCACACACAAAAUUUAACUUAAUCUUUAAGUCAAAAAGCUUAAAUAUUCUAGCAGGACGAGAAGACCCCAUAGAUCUUUAUAUUGAUAUUUUUUUGUAACUUAGUCGCCCCGUCCAUAAAGAUUUAAAAUAUUUAGUUGGGGUGACAUGAAGUCAUAAACACUUCACACAAAAACAUUUAUAGUAGGACUAUUGACCCGGUAAGCCCGAUUAAAAAAUUAAGUUACCUUGGGGAUAACAGCGUAAUCUGCCCUUAGAGUUCUUAUCAAAUGGCAGGGUUGCGACCUCGAUGUUGGAUUAAGAAUCCCUCUAUGAGCAGCCCCGUGGAAGGGAGGUCUGUUCGACCUAUAAAUUCUUACAUGAUCU